GGGAGGGCGUGGAGCACGGAAGUGAGAGCUACAGAGAAGUCUGCUCAAAGCCCGAGAUGCCCUUUAGCUGCCGGGGUCUUGGCUACAAAUCUUUAGGAGGAUAAAAAUAACCCACCCAAUGUUGGUUUUGUUGGGGCUUUCAUGUCACGGGCCCAUUUCCUCUGUGGGUGCAGCUCCUGGCAGUGUGCCGGGUAACGGAGGAGGUGCUGUCAGGGCAGACUCAGGGCUGCUUUCCAACCAAAGCGCCUCCUUUUUGGGAACCCUGAUUUGGACUCGGGAUCCAUAGGAGACUGGAACCUGGACCACAGGGACCCGACGCUCAGGGACCAUCUGCUACCGGCCCCAGCCCAGAUGAUACAGUUACAGCCUACCCACAGCAUCCUCCCCGCCUUCAGACAGUUCCAGGAACAGGGGUGAGUCACGCCCAGCUGAACUCCCAUCUCGCUCACCCGAGAGCUGGACCGGGCGCCAGCAGAGGGGGCCACGCACGCUCCGUGGAGCAGGUGCACUCUGCCACCUCCCAGAGAUGGGAAGGAGACCCUCACCCUCUGCCCCAGCUGUGCCCUGCACCCUCUGAGGGACCAAGGCCCGGGUCACAAAUUCAAUAGCAGAUGCUGCAGCUUCUUGUCACAGUAGCUUGUCCCAGAGCAGGCCACACAGAAGCCACCCUUCUCUGGCUGCCCCUGGAAGCACCUUGGGUCUGCCUUGGUGCAGAGAGGGUGGGUGCCCCUUGUUGGGCUGUUUGAGGCGGUGUUCUGAGUAGACAUCCAGCUUGGGCCACUGGGAAGAUGUGAUUAAACACUGACCACCCCAUUUUCUUUCUGGGUGAAAGAUCAGGGCCCAGGCAAGGCUCCUCAGCUGUGCUCACCCCCCGUCUCCCUCUGACCCCUUCUCUCCUCUUCCCAUCUCAGCACCUAGCGGCCUGCUGUGAGCAGAGGUUGUCAGGGCAGAGACCUCAGUCAGACUUUGAAUCCAGGCUCUGCCCCUCAUUGGUGGUGGAACCCAGGGCCAGACCUAUUUAAUCCUGAGCCUCCGUUUGCACAUCUGUAAAAUGGGGAUAGUCUGAGCUGCCUCCUAGGGCAUGUGAACAGGAAUGGGACGAUGCAUGGAAGGAUCCGGCAUGCUACCUGGCUGCUACUUUCUCAUCACUAGGGAUUCCAAAGGGCCUGUCCUUGGCAUAGGCUGAAACGCAGUGGGAGUGUUGAAAGCGCUGGACCUGUAACUCCAUAGAGAAGCGCUUCCCCACCUCCACACCAGCACCAGCACUGCUCUCAAUGUGCGGUGGCCUCUCCCUGCCUGAGAGCUGGUCAUUUUGGCAGCAGGGAGCCUGGUGAGGCAGUGCAUGGCCAGCAGGCAUUUGACGCCAACAGUGCAGGCUCUGCCGGCCGUGAUUCCAUCAUCCCCAGACUAGCAGAACCACUGCCUUCGCAGGAAUCUCAAAGCCCAGGGCUUUUGGGGGUGCUUCUCCACCACUCCUGACUGCUUCUUUCCCUUCAGGGGCCAUGGCUGCUGCCUGCUGCAGGGUCACUGCGUGACGCGAGCACCGCAGCAUC
rnacentral:lncRNA from 1 species